rnacentral:rRNA from 1 species
AUGUUUCAGGUACAGAUUGGUUUUGUGAUGGCCGGCUCCGAGGGCGUGAGGGGUUUGGCAGCAUCAGUGGGAGAGCUACACAUGGAGGCAUCACCAUCGCGGGAGGAAGGAACCAAUGGGCAUGGCAACGGUGAUGCUGCUGCUGUGGACGAUGAUGUCUGGGGUGAUGCCUCAGAUUCUCCAGGGCAUGAUUCUGACUUGAAAAGAGAAUGGGAGCACAGGCAGGAGCAGUUUCAUAAGAUGGGCUAUAGGGAUGGUAUAACCGAAGGGCAGAAGGAUGUUGCCCAAGAGGGGUUCAACCUUGGGCAUAGGCAAUCUGCGGAUGUCGCAUUCAAGUGGGGUCUCGUUCGGGGGAUUACUAGUGCAUUAGCUAGUCUUCCCGACAGGUUAAAAGAAAAGUUGCUGCUCGACGCCCAGCGUAGAGGAAAACUUGAAGAUUUGCACAACUCUGUGCAAGAAAUUUCAGCACAGGGUGCCCUGCAGCUGUUUCAUGAGAGUACUCUUCAGGAUAAUCGUCGACCAGAGGAAAGCAAGAUCCAAACUAUUCCAAAGGACCUUCUGCUUUUGUUGCAGGAAUGCCCAGAUGUGCAUGUUAGUGAAGAGUUGAAACGAGUUCCGUAA